CUAAAUAAUUAAGGGCUUACGGUGGAUACCUUGGCAUUCAAAAGCGACGAAGGGCGUGACUACCGACGAAACGCUUCGGUGAGCUGGAAGUAAGCUGUGAUCCGGAGGUACCCGAAUAAGGAAACUUUAUAAAACUGUUUAUUGAAUAUAUAAAUAAAUAAGAGCGAACCCAGCAAACUGAAACAUCUUAGUAGCUGGAGGAAAAGAAAGCAAAAGCGAUUCUCCUAGUAGCGGCGAGCGAAAAGGGAUCAGCCUAAACCAUUUAAAUUCGUUUAAAUGGGGUCGAGGGACAGUGUGAAAAAAUAGUAUAGUUAGGUGAAAUAGUUGGAAUCCUGUAUCAAAGAAGGUGAUAAUCCUGUAACCGAAAGCAUAUAUUAUUUUUACUGAAUCCCGAGUAGCAUGGGUCACGUGUAAUCCCGUGUGAAUCAGCGAGGACCAUCUCGUAAGGCUAAAUAUUACUGAAUGACCGAUAGUGAAAUAGUACCGUGAGGGAAAGGUGAAAAGAACCCCGGGAGGGGAGUGAAAUAGAACAUGAAACCGUAAGCUUACAAGCAGUGGGAGAAUGAUUGAUCGUUUUACCGCGUGCAUGUUGAAGAAUGAGCCGGCGACUUAUAGGUAGUGGCAGGUUAAGGUAGAGAAUACUGGAGCCAUAGUGAAAGCGAGCUUUAACAGAGCGUAAGUCACUAUUUAUAGACCCGAACCCGGAUGAUCUAGCCAUGGCCAGGGUGAAGCUUAGGUAACACUAAGUGGAGGUCCGAACUGACUAAUGUUGAAAAAUUAGCAGAUGAGCUGUGGUUAGGGGUGAAAUGCCAAUCGAAUCCGGAGCUAGCUGGUUCUCCCCGAAAUGCGUUGAGGCGCAGCAGUUAGUGCUCAAUCUUAGGGGUAAAGCACUGUUUCGGUGCGGGCUGUGAAAACGGUACCAAAUCGAGGCAAACUCUGAAUACUAAGUGUGUAACUAACUAGUGAGACAGUGGGGGAUAAGCUUCAUUGUCAAAAGGGAAACAGCCCAGACCACUAGCUAAGGCCCCUAAAUAUUUACUAAGUGAUAAAGGAAGUAGGAAUGCAUAAACAACCAGGAGGUUUGCUUAGAAGCAGCGAUCCUUUAAAGAGUGCGUAAUAGCUCACUGGUCAAGUGAUCCUGCGCCGAAAAUGAAUGGGACUAAGUACUUUGCCGAAGCUGUGGGAUAUUAAAAUCGGUAGGGGAGCGUUCUGUAUUAGAUAGAAGCGUUAGCGUAAGCAGACGUGGACAAAGCAGAAGUGAGAAUGUCGGCUUGAGUAGCGAAAACAUUGGUGAGAAUCCAAUGCCCCGAAAACCUAAGGUUUCCUCUGGAAGGUUCGUCCGCGGAGGGUGAGUCAGGACCUAAGGCGAGGCUGAAAAGCGUAGUCGAUGGACAACAGAUUAAUAUUUCUGUACUAUAUAUAAUUGAUAUCGAGGGACGAAGAAGGCUAGAUCAGCCAGAUGUUGGUUACUGGUUUAAGCUUUAAAGACGAUGACAAAUGGUGAAAACAUUUUGAGUUAAGGAGUGAGUACAAAGUGCUCAGGCACUAAAGUGAUUGAUGCCAUACUUCCUAGAAAAGCUCGGAAUAUCUCAAAUUAUAUGUACCUGUACCAUAAACUGACACAAGUGGGUAAGUAGAGAAUACUAAGGGGCGCGAGAUAACUCUCUCUAAGGAACUCGGCAAAAUAGCCCCGUAACUUCGGGAGAAGGGGUGCCCUUUACAGGGCUGCAAUAACUAGGCCCAAGCGACUGUUUAUCAAAAACACAGGUCUCCGCUAAGUUGUAAGACGAUGUAUGGAGCUGACGCCUGCCCAGUGCCGGAAGGUUAAGGAAGUUGGUUAGUUAUAAAACAAAGCUAGCGACUGAAGCCCCGGUAAACGGCGGCCGUAACUAUAACGGUCCUAAGGUAGCGAAAUUCCUUGUCGGGUAAGUUCCGACCUGCACGAAUGGCGUAACGAUUUGGCCACUGUCUCAGACAGAGACUCAGUGAAAUUGAAUUCUCUGUGAAGAUGCGGAGUACCUGCACCUAGACGGAAAGACCCCAUGAACCUUUACUGUAGCCUGAAAUUGGAAUCGGGCUUACUUUGCGCAGCAUAGGUGGGAAGCUAAGAUUAUAUGUUUGUGGAUGUAUAAGAGCUGUCAGUGAGAUACCACUCUAAGUAAGCUAGAUUUCUAACUUUGAUUGCCGUUAUCCGGCCAAGGAACAGUUUCAGGUGGGCAGUUUGACUGGGGCGGUCGCCUCCUAAAAGGUAACGGAGGCGUACAAAGGUUCCCUCAGGCUGGUCGGAAAUCAGUCGUAGAGUAUAAAGGCAUAAGGGAGCUUGACUGCGAGACUCACAAGUCAAGCAGAGACGAAAGUCGGUCAUAGUGAUCCGGUGGUUCCGAAUGGAAGGGCCAUCGCUCAACGGAUAAAAGGUACUCCGGGGAUAACAGGCUGAUCUCGCCCAAGAGUUCAUAUCGACGGCGAUGUUUGGCACCUCGAUGUCGGCUCAUCGCAUCCUGGGGCUGAAGUAGGUCCCAAGGGUUUGGCUGUUCGCCCAUUAAAGCGGUACGCGAGCUGGGUUUAGAACGUCGUGAGACAGUUCGGUCCCUAUCUGGUGUGGGCGCUAGAGUAUUGAGAGGAGCUCUCCUUAGUACGAGAGGACCAGGAGAGACGCACCUCUGGUGUACCAGUUAUUGUGCCAACAGUAAACGCUGGGUAGCUAAGUGCGGUGUGGAUAACCGCUGAAAGCAUCUAAGUGGGAAGCCCACCUCAAGAUGAGUACUCUAUCUGUAAUAACAGAUAAGAUCACGGUGAGACUAACCGUUUGAUAGGCGUUAAGUGUAAGUAUAGUAAUAUAUUCAGCUGAGACGUACUAAUAGAUCGAAAGUUUAGUGAA
rnacentral:rRNA from 1 species